rnacentral:lncRNA from 1 species
UUGUAUCAUCAAAAUUUCUUUUUUUCUUUUUUUUUCUAUUAAAGCUUUAUAUUAGCUUUUAGCAAUAUAUGCAUGUAUUGAUAAAGCUUCUAUAUGAUCCUUUCAGCUUGUAGUUCCACAAAUUAUUGGAGAAAUUCUUAAUAAAGCUUCUUAUAGCAUCUUUUCUUUUUGCAUUGUAGAAAUGGCAGAAGAUCAAAGUCUACUUGAUUGAAUAUUACCAACAAAAUUUUGUUUUCUAUCAUUAUUUAUUUCAAUUCCAUAACUUGUAGCUUCCAUUGCUAUAA